rnacentral:rRNA from 1 species
UACGGGGGAGCAAGCGUUGUUCGGAUUUACUGGGCGUAAAGGGCGCGUAGGCGGUCGUGACAAGUCACUUGUGAAAUCUCCGGGCUUAACUCGGAACGGUCAAGUGAUACUGUCGGACUAGAGUACAGAAGGGCAACUGGAAUUCUCGGUGUAGCGGUGAAAUGCGUAGAUAUCGAGAGGAACACCUGCGGCGAAGGCGGGUUGCUGGGCUGAUACUGACGCUGAGGCGCGAAAGCCAGGGAGCGAACGGG